UGACGCAGCGACGCCGCGUGAGUGAUGAAGGCCUUCGGGUCGUAAAGCUCUGUCCUCAGGGAAGAAGCAAGUGACGGUACCUGAGGAGGAAGCCCCGGCUAACUACGUGCCAGCAGCCGCGGUAAU
rnacentral:rRNA from 1 species